AAUUUAAAAGACUUCUUACAACAGGGAUUAGAGAGAGUCACAAAUUUGGGUUUGCGUCGUGUUUUUAAUUCCGAUUUGUGUUUUCGUGUAACGCGAUUUAAGCUUGAGUCUUUAUAAAAGAGUCAUUUCAAAAGACGUCGCUUAUAAUAUGAACAAAAACACAAGACAUGAUGAACAACUCUCCAAGCCUGUAGUGGCGCUACGGCCAGUGUGCGCAUGCGCACGACCCACAAUUCAUUUCUUCCUUGCGUUUCGUCUACUGGUGUUCCUCAACGUGGUCUUUCUCGUCUCUCCCUUGGAAAGGUUUGAGGAGUAUCCAAGUGAAGCAUCUGGCUAGAAAAGAGUCUCAGCAGGAGCUGAAAUGGAAAUGAUGUGCUGCGUAAAUGGAGCUUCUCUCAAGUUAAAAGCACUCGGCCUGGACUCCCAGCCUCCUGACUGAGAUGCUGAAACUGAUGGUUAGAAGAGCAGCUGGUUAGAAUCGAGCACAAAACCUCAGCAGAUCGCCCUGAUCUAUAAACCACGUCUUCACUUGUCCUCAGGAGCUGAAAGGAAACGCGCAAGCCGACGUAUAAAAAGACGAUGUGCUACGCCAAGUACCGAGGUGCUGCAGCUCUGUCCUGACAUCCAGACCAGCAGCAGGACUACGUUUAGCACUGAUGUGUUUUUAUCUGCUAUUACAUUCAAUACCUGAUUGCAGUGUAUUUCUACUGUCCUGCAUCACGCUAUUUAGUAUGACUACUCCAACUACCGAAAUUGGACUGGAUCUGUUAUGUCGCAUCCAUUCAGUGUUUUUGGAAGUUUACAAGACUGAUCUGCAAAAAAUCAUUUAAAUAAAGUUCUUCAUAAUAUGA